rnacentral:rRNA from 1 species
CCGGUUGAUCCCGCCGGACCUGACUGCUAUCGGAUUGAUACUAAGCCAUGCGAGUCAUUGUAGCAAUACAAGGCAGACGGCUCAGUAACGCGUAGUCAACCUAACCUAUGGACGGGAAUAACCUCGGGAAACUGAGAAUAAUGCCCGAUAGAACACUAUAUCUGGAAUGGUUUGUGUUCCAAAUGAUUUAUCGCCGUAGGAUGGGACUGCGGCCUAUCAGUUUGUUGGUGAGGUAAUGGCCCACCAAGACUAUUACAGGUACGGGCUCUGAGAGGAGUAGCCCGGAGAUGGGUACUGAGACACGGACCCAGGCCCUAUGGGGCGCAGCAGGCGAGAAAACUUUGCAAUGUGCGAAAGCACGACAAGGUUAAUCCGAGUGGUUUGUGCUAAACGAACCUUUUGUCGGUCCUAGAAACACCGAUGAAUAAGGGGUGGGCAAGUUCUGGUGUCAGCCGCCGCGGUAAAACCAGCACCUCAAGUGGUCAGGAUGAUUAUUGGGCCUAAAGCAUCCGUAGCCGGCGCUGUAAGUUUUCGGUUAAAUCUGUACGCUCAACGUACAGGCUGCCGGGAAUACUGCAGCGCUAGGGAGUGGGAGAGGUAGACGGUACUCGGUAGGAAGGGGUAAAAUCCUUUGAUCUAUUGAUGACCACCUGUGGCGAAGGCGGUCUACCAGAACACGUCCGACGGUGAGGGAUGAGAGCUGGGGGAGCAAACCGGAUUAGAUACCCGGGUAGUCCCAGCUGUAAACUAUGCAAACUCAGUGAUGCAUUGGCUUGUGGCCAAUGCAGUGCUGCAGGGAAGCCGUUAAGUUUGCCGCCUGGGAAGUACGUACGCAAGUAUGAAACUUAAAGGAAUUGGCGGGGGAGCACCACAAGGGGUGAAGCCUGCGGUUCAAUUGGAUUCAACGCCGGAAAUC